CUUUUCCCCAUCACUAUUUAUCCCCUCUAUGCCCUCUUCUACCUCCACCCACCCUCCUCUCCCCCUCACAAUCACCACACUUCUGUCCAUGUCCGUGGGUUCUCCCUCUUUUUUUUUUCUUUUUGGCUCAAUCCCUCCACCCCCCUAACAAGGUCAUAGAUAGAUGCAACCUUAGUUCAUUUGUUCUGUUCAUUUUAAUUUCUAAACUUAAAUUCUGUAAUCUAAAAAGCAUACGGCGACUUGUGAAGGUUUUUUUUUGGUUCCUGUUUUUAGAUUUGCUUUGAUGGGACUGGGGUCUUUUGUGACAAGAUGACCAUAAAUAUGCAUUCAUUUAAUUACUACAAUUGUUUGAUUAAAUAUUUGAUGUCAGGGGGAUUGAGAAGUCAGCCACAGGAGUUUUCUAUUAAAACAAAUUUCAGACAAAAUGCUGCUCCUAUUUGCUUCUGCCAGUCAAUGGCAGGGGAAAUUUAAAGCCUUUCAGACAUUGGGACACAAAAUAAAAAUGUCAGUUCUACCCUCAGAUGUUUCCAAAUGGCUGUAUGUUAGACAUUGGAGAUAAAGCCUUUAUAUACAUCCUCAUAAAAAAAAAAAAAAAAGUUUACUUUGGAUGGCAAGUCUAGAAACUGAGCCUUGCUGAGGACUGUGAGUCUAAAGGCGCAUCCACACAGUGCUGCUUAGAAUUUCUGCAUUUCAUGUUUUGGGUUGGGUAACUGAAAUCGUUAACAUAGAAGUUCUUUACAUCUACCUUCGGCACAAAGGUUUUGUAAACUGAUUUUUAAGAAAGAGUUGGGACCGUAAAAAGGAGAAAUAAAAUACAUUGUUUAGUAUGCAUGUUUGACACUCAGGUUUAUUGAUAUGUUCUGCUUUAUGAAUACUAUAUGACAAAUGACAGAGGAGAGAUUGCACGUCACUAUCUCUGUUCUAUCUAUGUACUGCCAGUGGGCAAAGAUUUCUCAUUUCAUACAUCAUUUACAACUUCCUACAGUAAUUUUACACAGCUCAUAUCCUGGGAACCAGGCGUAGCAAUUAUCUAUACGUAUAUAUGCAAGCAGGCAUCCUGAACCAUGCUGUUCUAAGGAGAGUUCCAAGGUUCACACACUCCAACCAACACAAGUUGGCAAAAGCCAGGAAGUUGGCCAAUUAAAAAAACUUUCCUGUUUUAACUGAUGCCCUGGUGUUACCUCUGAAACAGGCUGUUUCAGGAGGUCUUCUUUUAUGCUAGUGUUUAUAAGAAUAAAAUAAGAUUUUCAGCUUUCUCAAAUGCCUUUGUGUUCCAAAGUUCAAGUAAGAAAAAAAGCCUAUGUCUUUUUCUGUUCACUUUCACUCUUUUGCUUCUCAAUAGAUGAAGAAAAAUACAAUACUGCAUUCCAGAAUAGAUAAAGAAACCUAAAAAUACAGAUUUUCAAUUUUAAGUGGGAGUAAAUAGUGAAGCUUAACAAUAUUUUGUUAUUUUGGACUUUCUGAGGUUAUGUAACGUUAUCAUAGUUUUCCUGCCUUUUCUUAUACAAUACACAUAACUUUUAGAAAGAUUGUAAAUUUCUAAAUUUAUACAUAUUUGACAACUUCUAGAAAUAAAUUUUGGACUUUCAUGAGUUACCAAUAACCCACGAUUAAUAUUUAAUUUUUUAAUUUCUUUUGUCAAAUUUUAUUAUUUUUCAUCCACAAUGUGGGUAACUACAUGUAUUAGUUUUCUAUCAUUGUGUAAGAAAUUACUCUAAAAGCAGUAGCUUAAAACAACAGAUGUUUGCUAUUUAACAAUUUUUGUGGAUCAGGAAUCUCAGCACAGAUUAGCUGUGUCUUCUGAAAGGCUGUGGUCCAGGCAUUGGUCAAGGUCCAGUUCCUAUCCGAAUACUCAGCUGGGGAAGGAACCAUUCACAAAUUCCCUGGGGUUCCUGCCAUCGUUCAUUUCCUUGCAGUUGUAGGACUGAGGGCCUCAUUUUCUUGCUGGAGAUCAACUGGAGGUCCUUGCAGUUGCAGACUAUCACAGACUAGAUGCUCCCCUCAGUUCAUAGAGGCUGCCCUCGGUUUUUUACCAUGUGGGCCUUCCAUCAUGACUGCUUGCUUCCUCAAAGUCAGCAAGAACAAGAGACUCCUGCCAAAUGGAAGUGAUGGUUGUAUGUGAUGCAAUCAUGUCAUCACAUACAUGUAAUUAGUAGGAAAAUCACACGGAAUGAGAAAUAGCCAUGGAGGGACAACCAUUUUGCUCUGGAGGAUAAUCUUUGCCCAUACACCUUUUUCUGAAGCUGUAUUUACAACACGGUCUUAGGUUUUCUGUCUUUGAACUUCUCCUAUGACAUGGGGGGAAAUUCAGAAGACCAAAAGCUGCAAAAGUCAGAUACUGAAAAACUCCAAUGAAAAUGGGCACCUGACGACACAUAACACAAACAUAACAAAGCCUGGCAAAUGUUGAUGUGUCUCAUGAAUAUGUGGAUGCCUUCGGAGGGAACUUGACGGACGAGAUGGAUGAAAGUACAUAUGCUGAUGAAUCUCUCUUUACUUUUAACUUCAAGGAGAGAAAAGGAGAUGAGAAACACUAUCCUAUAGUGCAUUCUUAGUGGUGAAAACCACACCAAAUACUUUUGAGGAUGCACCACACUCUGAAACAGUACUUUUUCUUUACUUAUUUCCAUCUCUAUUGCAUCUCCCCAUUUAGAAUGUUGGAUCCAAGAUGGCAAGGAUUUUGUAUGUUUUGUUUUUCAUUUUAACUAAUUUCCUAUAAUUGUGCAAGGCCAUUGUAGGUGCUCAAUAAAAUCUUGCGCAGUGAAUGAAUGAGGA